CGGUGACAAACCGGAGGAAGGUGGGGAUGACGUCAAAUCAUCAUGCCCCUUAUGAUUUGGGCUACACACGUGCUACAAUGGACAAUACAAAGGGCAGCGAAACCGCGAGGUCAAGCAAAUCCCAUAAAGUUGUUCUCAGUUCGGAUUGUAGUCUGCAACUCGACUACAUGAAGCUGGAAUCGCUAGUAAUCGUAGAUCAGCAUGCUACGGUGAAUACGUUCCCGGGUCUUGUACACACCGCCCGUCACAC
rnacentral:rRNA from 13 species